GGGUCAUCCUCGGGCAAAAGCAUUAUCUUCCCCGACGGGCCUGCAAAACAAUAGAUGAUGACUCAAUUCCUAGCCAAGAUGCAAGUUCACCUUCACCAACAUUUGCAAUGGAAGUAAGACAAGAUGAACAAUAAAAAAAAGAGCCAACAAAAGAAAGACAAAAUGGAGGCGGGAUGCUCCAAACCAUUUCAGCAUCAGGACUACUUACUCCUAACUUGUUAAACAUCCUUCUCUACCACUAUCACAAAUUUGUAGAAUGAGUAGAUUGACUGCUUUUCAAUUGUAAGAAAUUUGACACUGGACACAUUAGUUCAUAAGAAUGCAUAUAACCCCACCUUGGUUCCUAAAAACAAAUGUCAUCCAUAUUAAUCCUUUUUAUGGCCUAAUAAAAUGUCUUGUGUUGAGGACUUAA